rnacentral:rRNA from 1 species
AGCAGCCGCGGUAAUUCCAGCUCCAAUAGCGUAUAUUAAAGUUGUUGCAGUUAAAAAGCUCGUAGUUGAAUUUCGGGAUUGACGUGACGGUCAUGCCUUAAGGGGUAUGAACUGUUACAGUUGAUUUCUCACCUUCUGGAGAAACUUGAUGUCCUUUAUUGGGUGUCUUGCGGAUCCAGGACCUUUACCUUGAAAAAUUAGAGUGUUUAAAGCAGGCAUUUUUGCUCGAAUACAUUAGCAUGGAAUAAUAGAAUAGGACGGCAUGGUUCUAUUUUGUUGGUUUCCAGGAUCACCGUAAUGAUUAAUAGGGAUAGUUGGGGGCAUUAGUAUUCAAUUGUCAGAGGUGAAAUUCUUGGAUUUAUUGAAGACUAACUACUGCGAAAGCAUUUGCCAAGGAUGUUUUCAUUAAUCAAGAACGAAAGUUAGGGGGUCGAAGACGAUCAGAUACCGUCGUAGUCUUAACCAUAAACUAUGCCGACUAGGAAUCAGACGAUGUUAAUUUUUAAUGUACUCG